rnacentral:tRNA from 1 species
GCCAGCAUAGCUCAACGGAAGAGCGUCUCACAUAUAAAGAGAUUGUUGUGGGUUCGACUCCUGCUGCUGGCU